GCAGCCGCCGCGGUAAUACAGAGGGUGCGAGCGUUAAUCGGAUUUACUGGGCGUAAAGCGUGCGUAGGCGGCUUUUUAAGUCGGAUGUGAAAUCCCUGAGCUUAACUUAGGAAUUGCAUUCGAUACUGGGAAGCUAGAGUAUGGGAGAGGAUGGUAGAAUUCCAGGUGUAGCGGUGAAAUGCGUAGAGAUCUGGAGGAAUACCGAUGGCGAAGGCAGCCAUCUGGCCUAAUACUGACGCUGAGGUACGAAAGCAUGGGGAGCAAACAGGAUUAGAUACCCCAGUAGUCCCUGUCUCUUAUU
rnacentral:rRNA from 1 species